CAAAUUUAUUUCGUUUUCUCUUAAUCUUUACAAUAAAAUUAAAAAAAAUACACAUGGUUGUCUUGUUCCGUCGGACGACCAUAAGAGUACACCGCUGCAUUAUAUUUUAGAGAAAUCACUUAAAUUUCAAGAUAAGCAAAGGAUAUAUAUUUCAGCAGAGCCUUGAAAUCGAUAGUUAUAAAAAAAUAUAUAAAAAAAAUGCUAUGCAAAAUUAAACUUAAUUCUGGUUCUUAGCAUUGUAACCAAUACAACAUUGGUCCUGAACUUUUUCUCUAGAUGUAAAGAAAUUAAAGCCUAAAACAUGUGGUAAGCAAAUCAAUUAUGAUAGAUUAUUUUAGGCAUUACAUCACCUUACCUCUACUGAACCAUCUUAUUAAUGAGCUUGAUUGUUAAAUUUUAAACAGAUAAUGUGGUUGUUUAUA